UAACACAUGCAAGUCGAGCGGGGGAGGUUGCUUCGGUAACUGACCUAGCGGCGGACGGGUGAGUAAUGCUUAGGAAUCUGCCUAUUAGUGGGGGACAACAUUCCGAAAGGGAUGCUAAUACCGCAUACGCCCUACGGGGGAAAGCAGGGGAUCUUCGGACCUUGCGCUAAUAGAUGAGCCUAAGUCGGAUUAGCUAGUUGGUGGGGUAAAGGCCUACCAAGGCGACGAUCUGUAGCGGGUCUGAGAGGAUGAUCCGCCACACUGGGACUGAGACACGGCCCAGACUCCUACGGGAGGCAGCAGUGGGGAAUAUUGGACAAUGGGCGGAAGCCUGAUCCAGCCAUGCCGCGUGUGUGAAGAAGGCCUUUUGGUUGUAAAGCACUUUAAGCGAGGAGGAGGCUACUAGUAUUAAUACUACUGGAUAGUGGACGUUACUCGCAGAAUAAGCACCGGCUAACUCUGUGCCAGCAGCCGCGGUAAUACAGAGGGUGCGAGCGUUAAUCGGAUUUACUGGGCGUAAAGCGUGCGUAGGCGGCUUUUUAAGUCGGAUGUGAAAUCCCCGAGCUUAACUUGGGAAUUGCAUUCGAUACUGGGAAGCUAGAGUAUGGGAGAGGAUGGUAGAAUUCCAGGUGUAGCGGUGAAAUGCGUAGAGAUCUGGAGGAAUACCGAUGGCGAAGGCAGCCAUCUGGCCUAAUACUGACGCUGAGGUACGAAAGCAUGGGGAGCAAACAGGAUUAGAUACCCUGGUAGUCCAUGCCGUAAACGAUGUCUACUAGCCGUUGGGGCCUUUGAGGCUUUAGUGGCGCAGCUAACGCGAUAAGUAGACCGCCUGGGGAGUACGGUCGCAAGACUAAAACUCAAAUGAAUUGACGG
rnacentral:rRNA from 1 species